CCAGUAACGGCGAGUGAAGCGGCAACAGCUCAAAUUUGAAAUCUGGCUCCUUCGGGGUCCGAGUUGUAAUUUGUAGAGGGUGUUUCGGGUGCGAUGCCGGUCUAAGUUCCUUGGAACAGGACGUCGUAGAGGGUGAGAAUCCCGUAUGCGACCGGCGAUCAAGCCCGUGCGAAGCCCCUUCGACGAGUCGAGUUGUUUGGGAAUGCAGCUCAAAAUGGGUGGUAAAUUUCAUCUAAAGCUAAAUACUGGCCAGAGACCGAUAGCGGACAAGUAGAGUGAUCGAAAGAUGAAAAGCACUUUGGAAAGAGAGUCAAACAGUACGUGAAAUUGUUGAAAGGGAAGCGCUUGCAAUCAGACCGGUCCGGAGGCGAUCAGCCGCUGCUCGUCAGCGGUGCACUCGCCUGCGAUCCGGCCAGCAUCGGUUUGGGCGGCGGGAUAAAAGUCCCGGGAAUGUAGCUUCCUCCGGGGAGUCUUAUAGCCCGGGUCGCAAUGCCGCCCGCCCGGACCGAGGACCGCGCUUCGGCUAGGAUGCUGGCGUAAUGGUUGCAAGCGACCCGUCUUGAAACACGGACCAAGGAGUCUAACAUCUAUGCGAGUGUUUGGGUGUCAAACCCAGGCGCGGAAUGAAAGUGAACGGAGGUGGGAACCCGUCAGACGGCGCACCAUCGACCGAUCCAGAUGUCUUCGGAUGGAUUUGAGUAUGAGCAUAGCUGUUGGGACCCGAAAGAUGGUGAACUAUGCCCGGAUAGGGUGAAGCCAGAGGAAACUCUGGUGGAGGCUCGCAGCGGUUCUGACGUGCAAAUCGAUCGUCAAAUCUAGGCAUAGGGGCGAAAGACCAAUCGAACCAUCUAGUAGCUGGUUCCUGUCGAAGUUUCCCUCAGGAUAGCAGUAACGUUUUCAGUUUUAUGAGGUAAAGCGAAUGAUUAGAGGCCUUGGGGCUGAAACAGCCUUAACCUAUUCUCAAACUUUAAAUAUGUAAGAAGUCCUUGUUACUUAGUUGAACGUGGACAUUUGAAUGCACCGUUACUAGUGGGCCAUUUUUGGUAAGCAGAACUGGCGAUGCGGGAUGAACCGAACGCGAGGUUAAGGUGCCGGAAUGCACGCUCAUCAGACACCACAAAAAGUGUCAAUUCAUCCAGACAGCCGGACGGUGGCCAUGGAAGUCGGAAUCCGCUAAGGAGUGUGUAACAACUCACCGGCCGAAUGAAUUGGCCUUGAAAAUGGAUGGCGCUCAAGCGUGCUAC
rnacentral:rRNA from 1 species